AUCCAGCUGAGGAGUCCAAAAUAGGGAGAAAUGCGCGUUAUCCUGGAU
rnacentral:hammerhead_ribozyme from 1 species